rfam:Candidatus Falkowbacteria bacterium RIFOXYA2_FTLL_47_9 rifoxya2_full_scaffold_711, whole genome shotgun sequence.
GGAAGGGUGACUGAGCGGUUUAAGGUAACAGUCUUGAAAACUGUCGUGGGUGUAAGCCCACCGUGGGUUCGAAUCCCACCCCUUCCG